UAGUAUGAGCUUCGCAACUUUCUUCGCCGGAAUGAGGCAGGCAUGGCUGAAUUGCAUGUCAUGGUACAGCACUCGACAAAAUGGGGUGCCGCACAAUGCACCCUCCACUCUCGCAGCUGUUGGCUCACGCACACACACAAAGCUACAACAAAAAACAAUAUGCGAACAGGUGCACAGAAAGCAAGGAAAGAUGUCGCGCAGCUAGAGGGAAAAUUCGAUACGAAAUAACUGUAAACAAACAAAACGUCCCUUUGCUUGUUGUUUUUGGGGAGGUUCUGCUUAUGCGUAGAAUGUACAUACGCAUACAUACAGAUGUACAUACCCAGCGGACCAAAAAACGAUAGUAAAACAAAACUUACAUAAAAUGUUCGCGAACGGACUAAGAAACGAUACAAAUCCGAGAGCGAUGACUGAAGUCUCGCUAAAUGUUCGCAGACGGACUAUGAAAAGAGCAUUUAGCGGAUGAGGAUUUCCCAAACACCCAGCAGUCAUCUAUCUUAGGCAAACUAAAUAAGAUGUAUACAAAAAAUGUACCUUAUUUUAAAUAAAGUUCAUCGCAAGACAGCGGAAAUUGUGGCUCUUCGCUUAGAAAUUUCAGAUACCAAGUCGAAGCUUUGUGAAACCCUUAUGAACCAUUCCAGAUAAUCGACUAACGGGACAGCUUUGAACAGAGUUUGCUGGAAGAGCGGGACUUUAAAAAUGGGAUCUCAGAGCUUUAGAUGUCCAGCGAGGAAGCGUUCGACCAAUGGAUUCGUAGCUCUUGGC